rnacentral:rRNA from 1 species
UGGAGAGUUUGAUCCUGGCUCAGGAUGAACGCUAGCGGGAGGCCUAAUACAUGCAAGUCGAACGGUAAGGCUCCUUCGGGAGUACACGAGUGGCGGACGGGUGCGUAACGCGUACGAAAUAUACCUUCAACAGGGAGAUACCCCCGGGAAACUGGGAUUAAUACCCCAUAGUAUUAUUGAAUCGCAUGAUUUAAUAAUUAAAGCUUUGGCGGUUGAAGAUUAUCGUGCGUCUGAUUAGUUAGUUGGUAAGGUAACGGCUUACCAAGACGAUGAUCAGUAGCUGGUCUGAGAGGA